GUGGGGAAUUUUGGACAAUGGGGGCAACCCUGAUCCAGCCAUUCCGCGUGAGUGAAGAAGGCCUUCGGGUUGUAAAGCUCUUUCGGCAGGAACGAAACGGUGAGCUCUAACAUAGCUCGCUAAUGACGGUACCUGAAGAAGAAGCACCGGCUAACUACGUGCCAGCAGCCGCGGUAAUACGUAGGGUGCGAGCGUUAAUCGGAAUUACUGGGCGUAAAGCGUGCGCAGGCGGUUGUGUAAGACAGGUGUGAAAUCCCCGGGCUUAACCUGGGAACUGCGCUUGUGACUGCACGGCUAGAGUAUGGCAGAGGGGGGUGGAAUUCCACGUGUAGCAGUGAAAUGCGUAGAGAUGUGGAGGAACACCGAUGGCGAAGGCAGCCCCCUGGGCCUGCACUGACGCUCAUGCACGAAAGCGUGGGGAGCAAACAGGAUUAGAAACCCUGGUAGUCC
rnacentral:rRNA from 1 species